rnacentral:rRNA from 1 species
AGCGAACGCUGGCGGCAGGCCUAACACAUGCAAGUCGAACGAACUCUUCGGAGUUAGUGGCGGACGGGUGAGUAACACGUGGGAACGUGCCUUUAGGUUCGGAAUAACUCAGGGAAACUUGUGCUAAUACCGAAUGUGCCCUUCGGGGGAAAGAUUUAUCGCCUUUAGAGCGGCCCGCGUCUGAUUAGCUAGUUGGUGAGGUAAAGGCUCACCAAGGCUACGAUCAGUAGCUGGUCUGAGAGGAUGACCAGCCACAUUGGGACUGAGACGCGGCCCAAACUCCUACGGGAGGCAGCAGUGGGGAAUCUUGCGCAAUGGGCGAAAGCCUGACGCAGCCAUGCCGCGUGGAUGAUGAAGGUCUUAGGAUUGUAAAAUCCUUUCACCGGUGAAGAUAAUGACUGUAGCCGGAGAAGAAGCCCCGGCUAACUUCGUGCCAGCAGCCGCGGUAAAAC